UACGUAGGGGGCAAGCGUUGUCCGGAUUUACUGGGCGUAAAGAGCGCGCAGGCGGUCGUUCAAGUCGCGUGUGAAAGCCCCCGGCUCAACUGGGGAGGGUCACGCGAUACUGAUCGACUCGAAGGCAGGAGAGGGUAGUGGAAUUCCCGGUGUAGUGGUGAAAUGCGUAGAUAUCGGGAGGAACACCAGUGGCGAAGGCGACUUCCUGGCCUGUUCUUGACGCUGAGGCGCGAAAGCUAGGGUAGCAAACGGG
rnacentral:rRNA from 1 species